rnacentral:lncRNA from 1 species
GUGAUGACCCUGCUGCCUGCCUCUCUCAGGGGGAUCACCUUUGCUAACUGUGGGGGGCAGGGCGUAGUGCUCUAAUGGGGGACAGGGCCUCCCGGUGGGGGCUGACCCCUCUGACUUUGUCCCCCCACUCGGAAGCCACCACCCUUGUCGUUUGCCCUCUGAGUCCUCCUCCCUUGGGCCGCCCCCUGCCCUCUGUCCCUGGGGCCGUGACAUUGGCAGGGUGCCCAGCGGGGCGAAGACGGCAGCUGCAGGUCCUGGUCCCCAGUACGUGUGUGAGUGUGAAUGCGAGUGGGUUGGGAUGGGGGAGCGGCGGGGCUGGGAUCAUCCGCAGAUCAGAGCUCGGGAGUAGAGAGCUUCUAGCGGGUGGGGCCGCCCUACACGCUGGAGCCCGAGGACCUGCCCCUGGGACCACCACCAGCCUCAACACCCCUGGAGGCCAGAGCACGUCGGACAGGCACUGACCAGAGGAGCCUGGGAGGAGCUGCGGGGACAGAUGCGGGUCAUUUGGAGCAAGAGGAGAUGACCUGAGGACCCAUUCCUGGUUCCUGGUAUGCUCGCUGCUGCCUGUCACCCUCCUCUGGGCCUUCGACCUCCUCCUGGUGGUGGAGGGCUCCCGUCUCAUGUCCCAUGAGGAGCCUUUGAGACUGGCAGGACCCCUGGCUGCCUACAACCUGGGCCUGAUGGUUCUCUCGGGGCACAUGUUCUAUGAGAAGCCUUGCUUGCAGCCAACAGUCCAUCAGCUGGUGUGCACUGGGCAUGCGCCUUGUGCCAGGCGGGCUGAAUCCACAGGAUGACCGCUGGUUCAUGGCCACCUCGCUCCUGGCCAGCUACAGCUGCUUCUGCCAGCCGGUGAACUACAGCUGGAAUGGCGAGCGUGUGCUGAUGGUGCUUCUCAAAGGCCAUUGAAUUACUGGUCGCAGGGGGUAAUUCACAGUGGGUGGUCAUCUUCCUAUCACGAAAGGAGUCAGAGCAAAUGAGCUUCCUGCACGUCUACCACCACAGCACCAUGCUCUUCAGAUAGUGGGCUUGGGUCAAAUAUGUGCCAGGGGUCAAGACAUACCUGAGAGGCAAGUGGGAGAAGCUGACCUACAAGGUGGGGCUGAGGACUGAAACUAGCAGAGCCCUCCCCAUGGAGAGUUUGGCGAAAGAUGAUACGGCCCACAGCCCACCCGUGCUGAGCAGAUUCCUCUGGGCAAGUAUUUCAUCCUAUGAGGAAAGGACAAUAACAAUUCUCGCCGCCUUCCCAGAGUUCAGGAGGACAGAACUGGACCCAGCUUCCUGAACGCACAUCUCAUGUGGAUUCGUCACUAUUUGCACACCUCCUUCCUCUACUAAACGUGAGUCCUUCUGAGGAGGGACUGAACUCUCAGUGGUCCCCACCCCUGGCACAGUAUCUCAAUAAAUGUGCAUUUAGACCCCUAUAUUCCCCCAUGGGCAGUCAGGGCUGGGAGCAUGGAGGAAGGCAAGGCUGGUUUGAUCUUCCCCUUGCAGGCAGAGAGGAUGGCUGAGAAUAUCUAAUCUAAGGAGUGUGGGUCUGUGUGAUUUCUCUUGGGGCUAUGCCAACAGUUCCCCUGCACAUCUUUCUGUCUGUUCACUAUUACCUAAGGUGCAUUUACACAGUUGUAUGAUUCUGUG